rnacentral:rRNA from 1 species
CAUUACCGAGUUUACAACUCCCAAACCCCUGUGAACAUACCAUUUGUUGCCUCGGCGGUGCCUGCUUCGGCAGCCCGCCAGAGGACCCAAACCCUUGAUUUUAUACAGUAUCUUCUGAGUAAAUGAUUAAAUAAAUCAAAACUUUCAACAACGGAUCUCUUGGUUCUGGCAUCGAUGAAGAACGCAGCGAAAUGCGAUAAGUAAUGUGAAUUGCAGAAUUCAGUGAAUCAUCGAAUCUUUGAACGCACAUUGCGCCCGCCAGUAUUCUGGCGGGCAUGCCUGUUCGAGCGUCAUUUCAACCCUCAAGCCCCCGGGCUUGGUGUUGGAGAUCGGCGUGCCCCCCGGGGCGCGCCGCCUCCCAAAUAUAGUGGCGGUCUCGCUGUAGCUUCCUCUGCGUAGUAGCACACCUCGCACUGGAAAACAGCGUGGCCACGCCGUUAAACCCCCCACUUCUGAAAGGUUGACCUCGGAUCAGGUAGGAAUACCCGCUGAACUUAAGCAUAUCAAUAAGCGGAGGAAAAGAAACCAACAGGGAUUGCCCUAGUAACGGCGAGUGAAGCGGCAACAGCUCAAAUUUGAAAUCUGGCCCUCGGGUCCGAAUUGUAAUUUGUAGAGGAUGCUUUUUGGUGAGGUACCUUCCGAGUUCCCUGGAACGGGACGCCAUA